CAAUGUGGUGUUUAGGUCGUUCCGCGGAGGCACUGCUCCAUCCUAAGUCCAGCAUUGAAUAUGGUAUGGACAUGGCCCAUUGAGGGUGAAAGGCCCGUCUGGGUGGAGACUCAUGUUGCCAGUACCUCCCUGGGUAGACCUUGGAGUCGGGUUGUUUGUGAAUGCAGCCCAAAGUGGGUGGUAAACUCCAUCCAAGGCUAAAUACAUGCACGAGUCCGAUAGCGAACAAGUACCGUGAGGGAAAGUUGAAAAGUACUUUGAAGAGAGAGUAAACAGUACGUGAAACCGCUCAGAGGUAAACGGGUGGAGUUGAACUGCAAUCCUUGUGGAUUCAGCUGGUGAGUAUGGUUUGAGCUUGGUUAAAUGGGUUGAUCUCCGGGGUCUGCGUACUUGCAGGUCUUCACUUGUGUUGAUGCGCGAUGCACCUACCAUGUGCUGUGCGCCUCGGAGUUAUCGGACCUGCUCGCCAGUGCACUUCUGCAGGGUGUUCACCACGACCGGCGUCGCCGUCUGGCUGUUGUAGUUAAACCGGUCUUGCAUUUUCCUUGUGUUUUUGCUUGGUCGGGACGGCAGGUAGCUCUUUGGUGGCUGUGGCUUGCUGCAGUUGUCUUUGGGUGUAAUCAGCUGACUGCAAUGGUUCUGUGCGGUACGUCGGAGACAGCGGCUAGUUGUGUGCGCGUUUGUGCCAUUACGUGGGCAUGCUCGGGUCUGAUUGUCAUGUUGCUCGCUUCAUGUGGGCCUGGCAGUGGCUCGGGUCUGUUCUGUGGUGGUUGCGUUCGUGUCACUUUACAGGGCCGAUAGUCUGUGGUGUAGUGGUAGACGAUCCACCUGACCCGUCUUGAAACACGGACCAAGGAGAGUAACAUGCGCGCGAGUCAUUGGGCGUAACGAAACCCACAGGCGAAGUGAAAGUAAAGGCUUGGCUUGUCCAGGCUGAGGUGAGAUCCUGCUGUUUCCCAUGCGCGGUACUACCAAGCAUCGAGCAGUGGGCGCAUCACCGGCCCGUCCCAUGACGUAGUCAUUAAGUCUUCGGACCAGUGCAUCGUCGGGGCGGAGCAUGAGCGUGCAUGUUGAGACCCGAAAGAUGGUGAACUAUGCUUGUGCAGGUUGAAGCCAGAGGAAACUCUGGUGGAGGACCG
rnacentral:sRNA from 1 species